UCUGACUUGAGUGCAGAAGGGGAGAGUAGAAUUCCAUGNGUAGCGGUGAAAUGCGUAGAUAUAUGGAGGAACACCAGUGGCGAAAGCGGCUCUCUGNUCUGUCACUGACGCUGAGGCUCGAAAGCGUGGGUAGCGAACAGGAUUAGAUACCCUGGUAGUNCACGCCGUAAACGAUGAGUGCUAGGUGUUAGGCCCUUUCCGGGGCUUAGUGCCGGAGCUAACGCAAUAAGCACUCCGCCUGGGGAGUACGACCGCAAGGUUGAAACUCAAAGGAAUUGACGGGGGCCCGCACAAGCGGUGGAGCAUGUGGUUUAAUUCGAAGCAACGCGAAGAACCUUGCCAGGUCUUGACAUCCCGAUGCUAUUCUUAGAGAUAGGAAGUUACUUCGGUACAUCGGAGACAGGUGGUGCAUGGUUGUCGUCAGCUCGUGUCGUGAGAUGUUGGGUUAAGUCCCGCAACGAGCGCAACCCUUAUUGUUAGUUGCCAUCAUUAAGUUGGGCACUCUAGCGAGACUGCCGGUAAUAAACCGGAGGAAGGUGGGGAUGACGUCAAAUCAUCAUGCCCCUUAUGACCUGGGCUACACACGUGCUACAAUGGUCGGUACAACGAGUUGCGAGCCGGUGACGGCAAGCUAAUCUCUGAAAGCCGAUCUCAGUUCGGAUUGGAGGCUGCAACU
rnacentral:rRNA from 1 species